rnacentral:rRNA from 1 species
UACGUAGGUGGCAAGCGUUGUUCGGAAUUAUUGGGCGUAAAGGGCGCGUAGGCGGUCUUGUAAGUCAGCUGUGAAAGCCCGGGGCUCAACCCCGGAGGGUCGGCUGAUACUGCAGGACUGGAGUACGGAAGAGGUAGCUGGAAUUCCUGGUGUAGCGGUGAAAUGCGUAGAGAUCAGGAGGAACACCCAUGGCGAAGGCAGCUCUCUGGUCGACCUCUGACGCUGAGACGCGAAAGCGUGGGGAGCGAACGGG